UGUAUAUCCACGCGACGGAUACGAUUAGCGUUCGACCCAUCUCCACGCGUAAUGCGGCGGAGCAUUCUCAUAGGUCACUCGCAUUUGUCACUAGCAUUCUUUUCUUGAUAUCCUAUAAAAGGAACCGACGCGCACGGCGACAGCAUUGCUCGCUCGUUAGCUUCGUCGUACGCGUCGCGUGACUAAUAACAGAAUACAAUAAGAAACCCAGUUUUCAUAUUCAUUGUAAGAAGCCGAGUCUUCAUAUCCGUUGUAAGAAGCCGAGUCUUCAUAUCCGUUGUGAGAAGCCGAGUCUUAAUAUUCAUUGUAAGAAGCCGAGUCUUCAUAUCCAUUGUAAGAAGCCGAGUCUUUAUAUCCGUUGUAAGAAGCCGAGUCUUCAUAUCCGUUGUAAGAAGCCGAGUCUUCAUAUCCAUUGUAAGAAGCCGAGUCUUCAGAUUCAUUAUAAAAGUGCAUUACAACCAACGAAAAUAGUGUGCGGAGUGACCUUCUUCACACCUACGGAACAGGAACCACCGGUGGUUUUGAUUUCAUAGGUGAUGCCCGUGUAAACGACUCGAAUUUCAAAUAUCCCGACAUGCAAUUCUUUCAUGCUCAUUAUAAACGAGGGGAUGUGGAUUAAUUGGACAAAGUAUCGAAAAUAUUCAACGUGAAUGACGAUAUAAAGCAUGAAGUAAUGAAAAUAGUUAAAGAGGCCGAUGUAAUAAUGCCUAUGCCGAGUUUGCUAAGUCCGAAAAGUACGGGUGAAUUGCGGCUGCGCAACAAAGAUCCAGCAGUUCCUGUCAAGAUCUAUGCGAAGAGUUUCUCUGAGCAAGAGGAUGUCGAGAUGAUGUUAAAAUGGAACUUGCAUUUGUCCUUCUACUAUUUCCAUGCAUGUGGUACAGUCAAAAUGGGUCCGCGGAAUGACCCUACGGCCGUAGUGGACGCUACAUUGCGAAUACACGGAGUGCAAAGGCUCAGGGUGAUCGAUGCAUCCAUCAUGCCGAACAUCAAUAGCGAAACCACGGUGGGGCCUGCAAUGAUGAUUGGAGAGAAAGGCGCGGAUUUAAUCAAAGAGGAUUGGACAGGGCCACGACCGACCUUUCGACGAGCUGACCGCUCGUACCGACCGGUCUUCUCUCACCGUACCGGAAAAGACGUUCCCGCCGCGACCAAGGCAAAUAGGGACGAGCGUAGAAACGUCGCAAAGCAGCUGGAGCUGUUAACAAGAUAGAUUGACUGCAUUCUGCGCAUAAACGUACUAAGGCAAAACACUACAUAUCCAUAUAUAAACAAGGACAGAAUCAUCACGUACACGACACGGUCGGACAUGGAGGCGUGUUUGACAGCUACUUGUGCCGCUGCAACGAAUA